AUUAACCGAGUUGACGUUUUUGAAGUUCCAAUCAUUUGUCACCGUUGAUUGCAGGUUUAUCAUCCUCGUCAUCUUCAAUCUUUUCCAAGCGAGCAGCAGCGGUACUUCUAUCUGCUGAUGGCCCAUUCUCCUUCACGAUGUCACUUGAACCAGUGUGCAACACAUUUUCCUUAAAGGAUUUGUUGUGAGGAGCUGGGGCUUUGGCUUCAGG
rnacentral:misc_RNA from 1 species